UACGAGGGGGCGAGCGUUGUUCGGAAGUUAUUGGGCGUAAAGGGUGCGUAGGCGGUUUGGUAAGUCUGAUGUGAAAUCUAUGGGCUCAACUCAUAGUCUGCAUCGGAAACUGCCGGGCUUGAGUGUGGGAGAGGUGAGUGGAAUUCCUGGUGUAGCGGUGAAAAUGCGUAGAUAUCGGGAGGAACACCAGUGGCGAAGGCGAACUAUCUGGGCUGCGAAACUGACGCUGAGGCGACGAAGGCUAGGGUAGCAAACAGG
rnacentral:rRNA from 1 species